rfam:Populus trichocarpa scaffold_164_contig_7, whole genome shotgun sequence.
UCUAAAACUCGAGAUAUGGGCUGAACAUUAAACAGUGUCUGGGCUGCAGGACAGAUUCUGACUUCUCCGUUGUUGCUACCAUUUGAACUCGAAGAUGACACUUUUAAAUCUUGGACUCUUCAUAAACGUUUUAGACCUAUAUCUUAGCUUUCCACA